rnacentral:rRNA from 1 species
UACGAAGGGGGGCUAGCGUUGCUCGGAAUCACUGGGCGUAAAGGGUGCGUAGGCGGGUCUUUUAAGUCAGGGGUGAAAUCCUGGAGCUCAACUCCAGAACUGCCUUUGAUACUGAGGAUCUUGAGUUCGGGAGAGGUGAGUGGAACUGCGAGUGUAGAGGUGAAAUUCGUAGAUAUUGGGAGGAACACCAGUGGCGAAGGCGGCUCACUGGACCGGAACUGACGCUGAGGCGCGAAAGCGUGGGGAGCAAACAGG